CCGGAUUAACCCUUUCUCUGCUCGCCCACUGGAGGCCUCCUUGGGUUCCGUGCCUGCGCAAGCCGGCGGCGCGCCUUCCCCCCAGCCCGCACCGCGCAUGCACGGGAAGGGGGGGGCGGUGGGGGUGUUCACGGCUGGCUAGACAUUCUGUGCUCGUGCAAGGAGGAGGGCUGCUACCAUCAGGGACGUGCACGACUUCCCCCACCCCGCCCCCUCCCCAAACUCCAAAAAAAAAAAAAAAAUCCAAAACACUGCCACCCACCGUGCCCCCGCGCCCCGCGUCCGUUCCGUCCCGGCCUGCGCGCUAAAGAACGCGGGGAGCCCACGGCGAGUGUCUGUGGCUGUGCCAGGCUGCAGGUCUGGUGUGCACCUGAUCAGAGUUAUUCUGAUCUGAAGAUUUUGGCGUUUAAGGCAUUAAGAUAAUUGCCUGAGUUGUUCAUGGAGUUUUUCAUCAGUAUGUCUGAAACCAUUAAAUACAAUGACGAUGAUCAUAAAACUCUGUUUCUGAAAACACUAAAUGAACAACGCCUGGAAGGAGAAUUUUGUGAUAUUGCUAUUGUGGUUGAAGAUGUGAAAUUCAGAGCACACAGAUGUGUUCUUGCCGCCUGCAGCACCUACUUUAAAAAGCUUUUCAAGAAGCUUGAGGUAGAUAGCUCUUCAGUAAUAGAGAUAGAUUUUCUUCGUUCUGAUAUAUUUGAAGAGGUCCUGAACUACAUGUACACAGCAAAGAUCUCCGUGAAAAAGGAAGAUGUUAACUUAAUGAUGUCAUCAGGUCAGAUUCUUGGUAUCAGAUUUUUGGAUAAACUCUGUUCUCAGAAGCGAGAUGUAUCUAGUCCUGAUGAAAAUAAUGGCCAAUCAAAGAGUAAAUAUUGCCUCAAAAUAAAUCGCCCCAUUGGAGAUACUGCUGACACUCAGGAUGAUGAUGUGGAAGAAAUCGGGGAUCAGGAUGACAGUCCUUCAGAUGACACAGUAGAAGGCACCCCCCCAAGUCAAGAGGACGGCAAGUCACCUACGACUACACUCAGGGUUCAGGAAGCGAUUUUGAAAGAGCUGGGGAGCGAGGAAGUUCGAAAAGUAAAUUGCUACGGUCAGGAAGUAGAAUCCAUGGAGACCCCAGAGUCCAAAGAUUUGGGGUCCCAGACCCCUCAAGCCUUAACAUUUAAUGAUGGAAUGAGUGAGGUAAAAGAUGAACAGACACCAGGCUGGACUGCCACCAGUGACAUGAAGUUUGAGUAUUUACUUUAUGGUCACCACCGGGAGCAGAUUGCUUGCCAAGCAUGUGGUAAGACAUUUUCUGAUGAAGGCAGAUUGAGGAAGCAUGAGAAACUUCACACCGCAGACCGGCCAUUUGUAUGUGAAAUGUGUACAAAAGGGUUCACCACCCAGGCCCACCUGAAGGAACACCUAAAAAUCCACACAGGGUAUAAGCCCUACAGUUGUGAGGUGUGUGGAAAAUCAUUCAUUCGUGCCCCAGACUUAAAGAAGCAUGAGAGAGUUCACAGUAACGAAAGACCAUUCGCAUGUCACAUGUGUGACAAAGCCUUCAAACACAAGUCCCACCUUAAGGACCAUGAAAGGAGGCACAGAGGCGAAAAGCCCUUUGUGUGUGGCUCCUGCACCAAGGCCUUUGCCAAGGCAUCGGAUCUGAAGAGACAUGAGAACAAUAUGCACAGCGAGAGGAAGCAGGUUACCCCCAGUGCCAUCCAGAGCGAGACUGAACAGUUGCAGGCCGCAGCCAUGGCUGCAGAAGCCGAGCAGCAGUUGGAGACAAUAGCCUGUAGCUAGAGGUGGCAGGACCCGAGUGCUGCGCCUGGGAAGCCGAGACUGGGACUACAUUGAUCGUGAUCAGCGAAUGCCAGUUAUUAUGUUUUCAUGGAAAUGAAUGGAGCAGUGUACUUGCUGGACAUAAGGCAGUGAUUGGUUAGGUGUUUUUAGAACUUUGUCAAGGAAAUUACGUUCCUAAGUUCUGACCAAACCGUUUCAGUGUCCUGUCUAGUCUAUUGUUGCCAGUAAGCUCCCCUCCCUUUCUUUUUUAUGAUUUUAAUUUGAGAACUCCUAUGUCCAGUUUAGAGGUGAGAGACUUCUGUUCUAUUUUUAAUCCUCUACACUCGCGUUGUGAGUGCACUGCACAGAGUAAUAAUCGAGUAAAUUGAUUUCUUAAUCGUCAUAGUCACACGUGACUUAUGGUCAAAACAGCAGUUUGAAUAACUUAAUAAACGUUCUUCAUACAGACCCAGAAAAUGCUGGUGGGUGAUUGACCAAGAACACUGCGCAAGUGUGAAACCAAGUUCUGGAAAUGCAGAAUGGUUUCAUUGCAAACAAAACUCCUAUGAUAUUUGUAUGCCAUGCCGGGACUCAUGCUUUCAUUUUUCUUGCAUAAAUUCUUAUGAGUGGGUUGGCUGUAGUGUACGGACUGCAUAACAAAGCCCAAAACUCGGCAAUUUAAAACAACAGAAAUAAGAUUCUCUCACCAUUCUGGAGGCUGAAACCAAGGUGCCGGUAAGGCAAUGUUUCCAGAAUCUGUGCAUGCCUGUCUUAGUUUCUGGUGGUGGCUGGCAACAUUUGACUUCCUUGGCUUGAAACUACAUCACCCAGUCCCUGCCUCUGAGGUCACGUGGCUUUAUUUCCUGUGUGUAUCUGAGUCUCUCUGCAUCCUCUCCUCCUCUCACAAGGACACAAGUCAGAUUGGAUUUAGAACUAAUUUGAUAUGACUUCAUCUUAACUAACUACUUCUGCAAAGAUCCCAUAUUUCAUGCAAGGUCACAUUCUCAGUUGCUGAAUGGACAAGAGUUUUGCUGUGACACUAUUCAUCAAGUAAGGACCUCUAUUGCCACUUCUCUUUUUUCCCUUCUGCUUAUCUAUCUCCUUUUCUUUUUACAACUUUAAUCAGUGGCAAGAUAAGCAAGGAACUGGUUGCAUUCUUAUUUGCUCUUGAUGACCUUUUAUAAAUCAUGCCUUGUUACAUUUUUUUUCAGCACUCAGAAGAUGUAAAAUCAUCAAUAACUCAUGGCAAUACAUUAUUUAUUUUAAACAUGCUUAUUAGUCAAGCUUCAUGUCUUUUUUUUGGGCUUUUAGCUUGUCUUCUUUAAUUAUCCUGCUUUUUGUGCUUGCUUGAAUUUUAAAGAUCAGUCAAUGCAUUUUUCAUGACUUUAAAUACAUUUUUUGUUUCAUUUUCAAGAAGAUUUUUUAAGAUGGAAAAUGCCUCUAUCAACCUAUUCUUUUCUCAUCUUUAAAACAACUGGAAAUCCUACUUGUUUUAAUUUUUGAUGCAGACACUUAUGGUCACCUAACAAAGAGCUGGCUUUGAACAACAGAGUCCAGUGAGAGAAAUGUGAGAUGUACACAAUAUAUCAUCAAAAUGACAAUGCUAUUCCUGUAUCAAGGUGAAGAAUGAGUCUGUUACUAAUAUUCAAUAUUCCCUUAUUUGUCUCUAAUAUUCCAGGCUAAAAAUAGACAUCCGAGUCUCUCCAGGUAAACCAAAUGAACUAUUUGUGUAAACUUUUAAAGAAGUAGACAAGACCAAUGUGAGCAAUGGACUGGCAGGGAGUUAGUUAGGACAGAUGUGGUUGAAGCUAUUGGCACAGUGCCACACUCAAGAGUGACAACACAGAGGACCAGCUGUGCAAGGACCCAGAAAGCGUGUCCCCCAACCAUACCCACCAGGAAAAGGAAGUCUAGAAGAACUACUCCCUUCAUCCCUUCCUCCUCCCUCACAUCCUUGGACUGACAAACACCUUCUCAUCUGAAGGCAUCCUCAUUAAUUUUCCCCAUCUGUAUUGUAUCAACUUGAUAAUGCUCGUCAGUUAUCUAUUGCUGCAUAAAAAAUCAUCUCAAAGCUUCCUGGCUUAAAAUAAAAAUAAACGCAUGAUUUCACUAUUCCUGUGGGCCAGGAAUUCAGGAGCAGUUUAGCUGGCUGUUUUUGGCCCAGGGUCCUUCGUGAGAUUCAGUUAGAAUAUUGGCUUGGAACUACAGUCAUCUGAAAGCUUGACUAGACCUGGUGUCAAUACUUCUAGGAUGACUGAUGCUGCUAGUACAAUACAACUGAAACACGAUGUCAUGUUUCCAGCAGGUACAAUACACAAAACCUUAGGAGGACAGACCACAGAAAAGAUGCAGUAAAAUAAUCAGGAAGUCAUGAAUUUUAAGUAUUUUCUUUUGUUUUAAUAUAAUUUCAUUUUAAUUUUAAUAUAAUUUUAUUUAAUUAUGAGUGUGUAAUUUAAUUUCAAACAAUGUCUGUCUUACAAUCAGCUUGCCAAAUUCCUAAAAAUUCACCAAUAAACUCAAAUGGGCUGGUAUGAGUUGCCUCCUACCCAUCACUGCUCCUGCCACAUUCCUUGACCUUAGGCUUAGCCAUGUGACUUGCUGUGGGCAAUGGGGAUUAAUAAACAUGACACAGAGAAGUGCUUGCAGGUUAUUCUUUAUUUUUUUGCUCCUCUCUUUUAAAUAUGGAAACAUUUCUGGGCUGGUCUGUUGAAGGAUGAGACAGUGAAGCAGAACUGAGUGGUCCACUUGUCUCAGUCAAGUAGUAGUCCAGCAGAAGACCCUAGAAAUGCAGAAGCCCAGCCAAGAUCAGAGAGAGUCCAGCCAAGACUAGACGAACCAAUCACAUGACCCACAGAUUCAUGAGUUAAAUAAACUCUUAGGCCCUGCCCCCUCCCCAACAAGUAAUUAUGUGAAGGAGGUAAUCUCAGAGAUUAUCUUCUUGUGGUCACUAUUGAUAACCACUUCAGUUUGGGGAUAGGAACACUUACAUUCUUCAGUCUUUCAAGGCUUAGAUACAGGGAUUUUAGUCAAAUCAGACUGCAAGUUAGAGAGUAAGCUUCCUUAGCAUAGCCAUGAUUCCUUUCAACUCUACUUGUAGACUUAACCUAGCCUCAGUUUGUCUUUUUAAGAGUGGUCAAAAGGGAGACAGUGAACACUAAUAUUUUAUAUUUUUCUUACAAUUUUUGCCAAUCCUAUGUUCCUAUCAUGUGUCUUCCAAGAUAUGGCACAUGUGAAAUUGUGAUUCAUUGUUUUGCCACCACACGAUCAUGACUAGCCUUCUAGUUUCUAAUUACAAAGCCUGUACCCCCUACUGUUUGUCCCCAUUAAGCCAAUGCUGCAUUUUUAGAUUAAUACUUAAAUAUGUAACUUCUGAUCUUUUCUCUCACACACACACAGUGUAUGUGCACAGCUUAGAAGUAGGGAGUUCAGAGCUAAAAUUCUAGUUCCAUAUUUUCAGAAUCCACCUCUCAAGGCCAUCAGCCCUAGGGGUGGCUCCAUACAUGUUCUUGGGCCACUGGACUUGGGCAGAAUUGAAUCACCAGCUUUCCUGUUCUCCGGCUUGCAAACAGCAGGCCAUAAGGGCCUUUGUAAUAAUGCUAGCCAGCUCCAAUAAUAAAUCUCUCUUCUGUUUCUUGGGAUAACCCUAAUACUCUGUCCUAGGGACAAGAUUCUCGUUAUUUCGAUGCCUGUGUCCUCUAAUUGUAAACAUUUCUCCCAACUCUUUCGUGGGGUGUAUAGUCCAGGUAGAAUCCUUAUUCAGUUGUUGGAUUCCCUUUCCCUACCCUUACCUUAGUUGACUUUUGGUUUGGAUUGCAUUUUAUAUGAACUAAGUUAAGGUUUACAAAAAAACUUUCAAGUAUGUCUUUCAAUGAGGAAAGGAUUGACCCAAGGACCCAAUGUAUGAUUUAGCUGAUGCUAUAAGGCAGAAUUCUUUUUGAUAGUUAUUAUUAUUUUGAUAGUUUUUCAUGCUCUUCUAAAACAGGAAACAUAUAGGAAGAAUCUGAGUCCAGUAUUAAUAAAGAGGACUGGGAGUAUUUCUGGAAACAAUGUAUUUCUGUCUUAGCUCAAGGGAAAUUCAUACUGAGGCACUGACAGAAACUGUCCAUAGUGUAAUAUAAACAAUAAACAACAAAACAAUGCAAAACAAAACCCACUUAAGUAUGCCAGAAAUUAAAGAGACUCCUUUAAUCCUCAGCUGUUAAAAAUUUAUGCACCUUUUAGAAUGGACUAUUGUAUAGACGAUUUGUGUUAAAUUUUUUUCUGAGAAAGUGAUUACCAGGAAAAAACAUAAAUUUAAUAAUAAAUAUGCCUGUCAAGCUACCUUCAUUUGCUCCUGUAGAAUUUCUAGCACAGGAGAUUUGAUAGAUGCCCAGUGUACCUGUUUUACAUAAGUAAAUGGUGAAGUAUACACAGAUCAAAUAGAAACAUAAGCCAGGUGAUGGUGCAAUUGGUUGUGUGCAAUUGGUGGUUGAAAUUGUACUUAAGCUCAGCAAUCUGGUUUCUGCCUAUUUUCCAAUCCUUCCCCAUUACUCUGCUCCAACUACAAUGACCUAUGUAUUUGCAGUUACCUAUACAUACCAUAGUCUCAUAAUUCUGGGUGUUUGUAAACACUAUUCCUUUGCCUGUACCACCAUUUUUUUCUCCUUCACCUCGUUCCUACUCAUCCUUUGGAUGACAGUUUUGCCGACUUUCCUAAGAAGCCACAUCUGAACCCCAACACUCUUCCUAUCUCCCUACUGCAGCAUAAUAUAUCAUAGUGGCCUUUCUUUGCCCAGUAGUAAGCUACUAGAGUGAGGAUGGUCUUGUUCAUAGUUGUAGCCCCAACACUUAGCACAGUACAUGAUAUUCAGCAGUUCAAUGACUAAUAAAGUAAACUGAAUGCUACAAUAACCAUCCCAAUCCCUUUCCAGAACUAAUGAUUUGGAAAGCAGAAAACAAAUUUAAAUCAGUUUUACAGAUGACAUAAAGUGGGAUAAUAUAAUCAAAAUUCGAAAAAGCAAAUAUUCAAAAAGAAUUCAACAGGCUGGAAACCAAUGAGGUAAAUUCUAGAGAGAAAUGUAAAGUUCUGCAUUUGUUCACACUGUUCAGUGGGUUUCAAAGUGUAGCCUAAACUACUGUUGGAAAAAUAUAAUUAAAAACAAAACCUCUUGCCAACCCAAGAAAACCUUUAUACAAAGACAGAAGAGAAAGUUUUUAAAAAAUUGUUUUUUAUUGAAUAAGCAUUAGACUAGAAUGUUAUACACAUUACAAGCAAUUCACUGAUUUCCAAGACAGAAAUCUCCCCCUUUUAUAUAGCUGAACAGAUAUAGUCGAUUACAUACUUCUCAAAUGAUAUAGCUAGUUUCUAAGAGGACUCAUUAGCACCAUUUGUCACAAAGUUCAUUCUAAAUUCACUUGGUAAUUUUGAUGACCAUCUGUGUUUGUUAAUUGUUCAAGGGAAAAAUAGAUUUCUUGUGUCUUUAUGACAGGAGGUAGAGUUGCAAUUUGGAGCCAGGUGUCCUUCAAAGUUAGGCUUCUAUCUGUCCAAGAAACCAGGAGCCAGGGGUACUUUUUCUUGUUUAAAUUUCAACAGGAUGGAUACCAGGUUCUUGAGGAAGCAUUCCUGGGUUGUAAAACUGGCAAGAGGCUAAUUUAGCUUUCAGAAGGAUUUACAUACAUUUCAAACAAAUGCAGACUUUUUUUUUUUUUUUU